UUUUUUUUUUUUUUUUUUUUUUUUGGUUUUUAGGGCUGUACUUGCGGCAUGUGGAGGUUGCCAGGCUAGGGGCCAAAUCUGAGCUACAGCUGCUGGCCUACACCACAGCCACAGCAAUGCCAGAUCUGAACCAUAUCUGUGACCUACACCACAGCUCAUGGCAUAGCUGAAUCUUUAAGUCACUGAGAGAGGCCUGGGAUUGAACCCUCAACCUCAAGGUUCCUAGUCAGAUUUGUUUCCACUGCACCGCAAUGGGAACUCCCUCUACUCCAAAUUUCUGCACAACUCUGACAGUGGGGGGAAAAAAAUUUCCUGAGACUAAUCUACCCUUGCGUCAGGUUGUCUUUUUAUUUGUGUUGUUCAAUACAUCAUGAGGCUAAGGGUCCUGAAGCCAGCCUGCUGGGCUUCUAAUCCUGGCUCCAAUGCUUUAUCAGCUGUGAUUUAGUUCAAGUCUACUACCUCCCUUCUCCCAGAUUACCCAUCGGAAAAAUGGAGAAGUAAUUUACUUCCUCACCCAAGGUUCUCAGGAAAACCAAAGGUCUUCUAAGAAUUCAGGGUCCAGGAGUUCCCAUGUGGUGCAACAGGAUCAGUGGCAUCUCUGUAGUUCCAGCAUGCAUGUUCAAUCCCUGGCCCAGCACCAUGAGUUAAAGAAUCCAGCAUGAAGAGUAGAUCACAACUGCGGCUUGAAUCUGAUCCCUGGCCCAGGAACUCUAUAUGCCACAGGGCAGCCAAAAAGAGGGUUCAGUCAUUAAAAGAGUAACUUAUGCUCAAUAGAUAAUAGUAACAACAGUAAUUUUAUGGUCGUCAUCCUGUUGUACGGAUUCCCCAAAACAUCUUACAUUUUAAAUUACUUAGGCCUUAAAAUUAGAGCAGAAUCAGCCUCAUCCUUAGUUGGGGAAACAUGGGAACAUGACAGGCAAAUGCUCAAUUGUUACAAUACAGGGAUGGGGCCUGAAAACCCAUGGUUGGGGCAUCUCUUCUUUCAAUUUUUUUUUUUUGCUACUCCUGCAACAUGUGGAGGUUCCUGGGCCAGGGAUUGAAUCUGUACUACAGCAGUGAUCUGAGCCACAGCAGUGACAAUGCCAGAUCCUUAACCUGAUGAGGCACCAGGGAACUCAUGGGGCAUCCCCUUUUUGCUGUCCUGUAAAUGGCCUUUACUUGCUUUUCCUAUCUAGUCUCUGGAUUCAUUGCAAGCUUUGGGGGAGGACCUUGAAGUUUGUCCAUAAAUUUUCUAUGUUUAAAGGGAAGCUUUUCAUUAUUGAAUAUUCUGCAAUAAGCAUGAGUCAAAAGAGUGACUCAGGCCAUCUUCUCAGAGGUGGCCAGCCAUAAAUCAGCUUCUACAGAAAGUGAAUCUCUUCUGGCUCCUUCGGCAAGGUAGCAAUUAUUAGUAGGCAGUGAGAGAGAGUCUUCAAUGGAGGCAUGUAAGACAAUGUCACCUUGAAUUUCUUCUAAACCCGUUGAUAUUAGAGAAAAGUUAUACCCUCAGGUAAGCUUUGAGAGGUAUGCUGUUGGCAAGCAGAUGCAGCCAAAGGAGGUCACUGGUGCCUAAAAUUCACUACCUCUGUGAGCUGACUCCCAAGAAAUACCAUGGUAUCUUUAGGGAAGAUAAAAUUUCAAACAGCUAUUUGAUCCAAGAUUGGGUUGUUUCUACCCACUGCUGAAUACCUAGGAUAUCUUGAAAGUAUUUACCCAACCAUUUUGAAGGUUUGACUUUCUGGUAUCCAACAGCUGAAUAUAAAUAGUAUCCAGGUCUUUUGGCCACUGUGACAUCCACUGAACUAGGGAAUUUAAGGAAUGGACAAUGAAGGGUCACCCACACCAGGCUCUCACUGGAGGCAGGGCUGGCUACAUCGAAACCAUCACAGACAUGUUUUUCUCCUUCUUUCCGAAUAUCUCUGCCAGUGGUGGUUUCCAGACUGGCAAUAUCAGCAUCACUUGUUAAAAAGGCAAAUUUUUGGCCUUUCCCCAGAUUUACUAAAUCAGAAUCUCUGAGGUUAAGACUCUAUUUCAGAAAUAUAUAUUUCCACAAUUACCAUGUUUCCUCCAGGUAAUUCUGAUGCAUGCUAAAGUCUGAGAAUUACGACUCUAACAGAGCCACUUUACAGAAGUGGCUAUACCAGUUGGGAUGUUUCAGGGCUGCAAGGAUCAGAAAGUGGAACAUGAUGAUCUUUUUUUUUUUUUUUUUUGCUUUUUUAGGGCCGCACCCAUGGCAUAUGAAGUUUUCAAGGUAGGGGUUGAAUCAGAGCUACAGCUGCUGGACUAGCCACAGCCACAGCCACAGCAAUGCCAGAUCCAAGUCUCAUCUACAACCUACACCAGAGCUCAUGGUAACACAAGAUCUUUGACCCC
ensembl:lncRNA